rnacentral:rRNA from 1 species
CCUACGGGAGGCAGCAGUGAGGAAUAUUUGUCAAUGGGCGCGAGCCUGAACCAGCCAAGUAGCGUGAAGGAUGACUGCCCUACGGGUUGUAAACUUCUUUUAUAAAGGAAUAAAGUGAGGCACGUGUGCCUUUUUGUAUGUACUUUAUGAAUAAGGUUCGGCUAACUCCGUUCCAGCAGCCGCGUUAAUCCGGAGGAUCCGAGCGUUGUCCGGAUUUGUUGGGUUUAAAGGGAGCGUAGAUGGGUUGUAAAGUCAGUUGUGAAAGUUUGCGGCUCAACCGUAAAAUUGCAAUUGAUACUGGCAGCCGUGAGUACAGUUGAGGUAGGCGGAAUUCGUGGUGUAGCGGUGAAAUGCUUAGAUAUCACGAAGAACUCUGAUUGCGAAGGCAGCUUACUAAACUGCCACUGACAUUGAUGCUCGAAAGUGUGGGUAUCAAACAGGAUUAGAUACCCUUGUAGUC